UGGCCCCUGAGGUCACAUUCUGAGGGUCCAGGAAGGACAUACCUUUGGGAGGCCACUAUUUAAUCCAAUGUAGACUGAGGAGUCAGGAGCAACCCUUGACAAGUGGGGCUUUGAGAAUUUGGGGGGGAGACAGACAGUUUUGUGAUGCCACAAUUAGUAGGGACCCAGAAUGCCGCCCCCAUGGGGCCCCAGAGAGGUGCUAGGGACUCAGUCACAAUGACUAUCUGGUGGACUUAGAGGGGCUUGGGCACAAAGAGCUGUGACUACUUCCUCAGCAAAGAUGCCUGGGUCCACGCAACAAAAUCACCCCAUCAAGGGAGCAUGGGGCUUGUAAAGCAGAGGGCUCCACAGUGGCCAUUGUAGACAAUGACCAGAGGGUCCAUCUCAACACUGUGAGCCGUGCGAAACCUCCACGUCAUUCUCCAACCUGGGAGAGAAAGAGCCCCAGUGACUGAGAUGGAAUUUCAGCCCGCUAUCAGUUGCUCCCCAGGUCUGGUGCAUGAUCUUCAUCAUGGGUUAGUCUCCUCUUUCUCGACAUGGUACCUUCAUUCUUGGAUUUAUAUCCUCAAUAUAUUUUUUUUCAAAGGAGUUAGUAAAAAACCGUCUGAGGAAGCUGCCCUUGGUUACCUGGCAACAAGCUGGCUGAUACUGAUGGUUCAAGCCUCUGGGGAGCAGAGCCUGAAAUUUCCUGUGUAAUCAGGUGCCCCACCUGUCUCCUGCUCCCCGAAUUCAGCUUCUCACUGCAGCAGACACCCUCAAAUGCUCUAGAGGUGGACAGCUGGCCUUUCCCAGGAGGUUCCUAAAUAACUGGCACUCAGCGCUCCGGGCCAGAACGGUUAUUUUUCUCAUCCAAGACCACAGUAAUGCUCACUUUAUUCGAAUCAAGAGCCACAGGAAUCAGGGGCUGUCUGCUGGAGCACAGCCCCACCGUGUAUUCAGCGGCUCCCUAAAUCAAGCCCGGCUCUCUACAGGAUGUGAGAGAGUAGCAUCCUCCCAGCUUCCACCACGUCAAGCGCUGGUUUGGCGAUGGUCUGGUGAUCCUUGGUUGUCCUUUCUCACCUCUGUGUGAAGGGCUAGACUGAUUCAUGGAGGGCUUGGCAUGCUUUCCAAAGCCGCUGUGUAGGUCUCUUCCCCAGUGAUGCUCUUCCUGAAGCCGGCAUGCUGUCACGGUAGAGGGCCAAAGACGAUAGCGGCCAGUUGCUUGCGAAGUGUGAGAUGAGGGAAGAUAGCUGGCAAGGAGCCUCCAGCUCUGCUAUUCUGUGCAAGUCUCCAAUAAACGCCGGCCUCCCGCUCCCACCCUGGACUGCCGAUGCCAAACUGACCGCCCCCGGAGUGGGCACAGGGGACCAGCUGCCGCCACCUCUCCUGCAGCUUCUCCUAGGAGCAGCUGGAGGGCCGCUCUUGCUGCUCAGUACUUCCCAUCUUCUUUCCAUGUGCCAGAAGUCAGUCAGAAUCUCUAGUCCACUCCUCGCCUGCCAUGGUUGUUUUCCUCGCUGAAUUUCUUUGCUUGUAACAUAUACUCAUCCAGCAUUUUGUACCAGAAACCUAACCCCUUCAUUUCAACAGGGGGCUCUGAGCCCUGCCUUUUGUGUGUACAGGAAGUCAAAAUAGGACACUUUUGCUCUCAAUUUUGACUACAACCUCAAAAAAUUACAUCGAAAAUAACAGGUGUCAGGUGCUGCCACACUACCAGGGGAGGCGCUGCGCCACCUAGGCAUGGCUAGCAGAGGAAGCGACCAUAGAGCUGUUUGCAUGGCCCUCCUAGCCUGGCAGCUACAAAAGGUAUAGGAGGUUGGGGUUGAAGACGGAGGCCCUUGGACAAGGUGCUGGCAAGCUGAGGCUCUUCUCCUCCCCAUCCCAGACGUUGGGCAAGGGCGGGCUGCUUGCUCUUUACUUGAGCCUCUUGAGAAGGGCUUCAGAGACACCCUCGGAAAGCUUGAUGAGCGUUUCUUAGAGUUUGGGAAUGAGUUUGAGCCAUAUAAAGGCAAAGCUUAAAGGCGAAGUGGAAGCCAUGUAUGAAGACAGGAAAGGCAAGAGGGUAGUGGUGGGGGCAGGUGGCAUACUCAAGGAUGCUUGAGCAUAGCGUGGACUAAGGGGACAUGAAGCUUGUCACUGGAUCCAUCCGGAAAGAGCCCCACACAGGAGAGCAGCCCAGUGAGGUAACCCCAUUAGCAUUAGGGUGAAGGAGGCCCAUUGAGUCUGUGCUGAGGGUAGGGCUUGUUACAACAGUUCAUUAGGGAAUGACUUACCCAUGUCAGGGACCUGAGCAAUGUGAGGUUUCACAGGGGCCUCUGAAGAACCCCUCUGCACUCAGAGAAAAACGUCAGCCUGGAACCUCCAUACCCCAUGCUCAGUGAGAGCCCCAGAUCAGCUGGUAGAGAGGAGAAAGAAGUCAAGGAACUAGAAAGGAUACUGACCACGCCCCUCUUGCCCAUCGCAAGUUUCCAGCCUGAAGGCGGCCUGAACUGGAUAAGAAAGAAGCUUUCCCUGAAGAAGGUUCGGAGAUCUUACUAUGCAUGGAUCUAGAUAUUGAUAUUGAAAUAAAGCUGUUACCAUGA